rnacentral:tRNA from 1 species
AAAGGGAGACCUUCUUAACCCUUCAAGACAGUCAAAAAGUAGCUUGAAGAGUCUAGACAAUCCCAAGGUCGCACAGGUAUUGAAAGCUCAUAAUUAGCAAUAAUUAAAAGUGGCAAGUCUUCAAACUAGAGAUUAGGUUCGAUUCUCCAAACCGAAAGCAAGGGCUAUUAGCUCAGGUGGUUAGAGCGCACCCCUGAUAAGGGUGAGGUCCCUGGUUCAAGUCCAGGAUGGCCCACCACAAUUAAAAGGAUCAGUAAUGAAGGCGGAAGGAUGAGGAAAAGUCAUCGUGAAGCAUCGAAGCUAGUUCGGAAAAUUGAGAAGAAGGAGAGAGAAAGCUGGAAAAAGGAAGUAAAAAGUCCUUAAUCCUUAUCCCUCAUAAUUCAUCCUUAAAAGUAUGGGGGUAUAGCUCAGCUGGUAGAGCGCCUGCUUUGCAAGCAGGAUGUCAGCGGUUCAAGUCCGCUUACCUCCACCACAAGAAGAAGACCUGCUUUGUCAGCCCCAGAAAUCAGAGAGCUAAAAUCAGCAUCAUCAGAAGCCCCAAAGCCAGACUGAGAAUGCUGAGUUUUAAACUCAGUAAGAACCUUGAAAACUGCAUAAAGAAAGAAAAGUCAACUGUAAAACAAGUAACUAAGUCAAAAGUAGUCCUCAAAAAUAGCA